rnacentral:rRNA from 1 species
GACGAUUUGAAGGAUGGACGCUGGAUAGCGGCAAACGGGUGAGUAUCGCGUGAGUAACUUACCCUCGAGUCAGGAAUAGCCCCGUGAAAACGGGAGUAAUACCUGAUAGCAUUUAAGUGCUGCAUGGCACUUUUAUUAAAGGUGGGGAUUUUCGGACCUGCCACUCGGGGAUUGACUCGCGUCCUAUCAGCUUGUUGGUGAGGUAACGGCUCACCAAGGCGUAUGACGGGUAGCCGGCCUGAGAGGGCGAUCGGCCACACUGGGACUGAGACACUGCCCAGACUCCUACGGGAGGCUGCAGUCGAGAAUAUUUAGCAAUGGACGAAAGUCUGACUAUGUGACGCCGCGUGCAGGAUGAAGGUUUUCGGAUUGUAAACUGCUUUUAUCAGGAAAGAAACCUUGUCGGUUAAUACCCGGCAAGCUGACGGUACCUGAUGAAUAAGCCACGGCUAACUCCGUGCCAGCAGCCGCGGUAAUACGGAGGUGGCAAGCGUUACUCGGAAUUAUUGGGUGUAAAGGGCAAGUAGGCGGUUUAAUAAGCGAGGGGUGAAAUCUUCCGACUCAAUCGGAAAACUGCCUUCGAACUGUUAGACUUGAGGCAGACAGAGGGAAAUGGAAUUUCCGGUGUAAGGGUGAAAUCUGUAGAUAUCGGAAAGAACACCAACGGCGAAGGCAAUUUCCUGGGUCUGUCCUGACGCUAGACUGCGAAAGCUAGGGUAGCAAACAGAAUUAGAUACUCUGGUAGUCCUAGCUGUAAACGAUGAGUACUAGGUGUCGGAUCGCAAGAUUCGGUGCCGCAGCUAACGCAUUAAGUACUCCACCUGGGGACUACGGUCGCAAGGCUAAAACUCAAAGGAAUUGACGGGGGCCCGCACAAGCGGUGGAACAUGUGGUUUAAUUCGAUGAUACGCGAAAAACCUCACCAAGGCUUGACAUAUAAGAAGUAGUGAACCGAAAGGGGAACGAGUCGUCAAGUCCGACAACUUAUACAGGUGCUGCAUGGCUGUCGUCAGCUCGUGUCGUGAGAUGUUGGGUUAAGUCCCGCAACGAGCGCAACCAUUGCCCUAUGUUGCCACCACAUUUUAACCUUCGGGUAUGAAUGUGAGCACUCUUAGGGGACUGCCCGGGAUAACCGGGAGGAAGGUGGAGAUGACGUCAAGUCAGUACGGCCCUUAUGCCUUGGGCGACACACGUGUUACAAUGGUCGAUACAAAGGGUUGCCAACCCGUGAGGGGGAGCUAAUCUCUAAAAAUCGGCCCCAGUUCAGAUUGGAGUCUGCAAUUCGACUCCAUGAAGCCGGAAUCGCUAGUAAUGGGAGAUCAGCACGCUCCCGUGAAUACGUUCCCGGGCCUUGUACACACCGCCCGUCAAGCGAUGGGAGCCGGGGGUACCCGAAGUCCUAUGUAGAUAGGCCGAAGGUAAAUCUGGUGACUGGCGCUAAGUCGGAACAAGGUA